GCAAGUCGAACGAGGCGCCCUUGAGCACUGAAUGAAGUUGCGAGCUUGCUACAAAAUGGAAUGACGUAGGAUAAGGAAUCUGCGCCUAGUGGCGAACGGGUGAGUAACACGUGGGUUAUCUGCCUCAAGCUGGGGAUAACAGUUAGAAAUGACUGCUAAUACCGAAUGUGCUAGUAAUAGUAAAGGUGCUCUCAAGCAUCACUUGAAGAUGAGCCUGCGGCGUAUUAGCUAGUUGGUGGGGUAAAUGCCUACCAAGGCGACGAUGCGUAGCCGGACUGAGAAGUUGAUCGGCCACACUGGGACUGAGACACGGCCCAGACUCCUACGGGAGACAGCAGUUAGGAAUAUUCGGCAAUGGGCGAAAGCCUGACCGAGCAAUGCCGCGUUGUGAGAUGAAGGUCCUUUGGAUUGUAAAUCACUUUUAUUUGGGAAGAACAGUAAAUAGAGGAAAUGUUAUUUAUUUGACGGUACCAUUUGAAUAAGCCCCGGCUAACUACGUGCCAGCCGCCGC
rnacentral:rRNA from 1 species